GGUUCGAUGGCGUAGUUGGUUAUCGCAUCUGUCUAACACACAGAAGGUCCCAGUUCGAAUCAUGCUAUGGGUUA